rnacentral:rRNA from 1 species
UACGAAGGGGGCUAGCGUUGCUCGGAAUCACUGGGCGUAAAGGGUGCGUAGGCGGGUCUUUAAGUCAGGGGUGAAAUCCCGGGGCUCAACCUCGGAAUUGCCUUUGAUACUGGGUGUCUUGAGUAUGAGAGAGGUAUGUGGAACUCCGAGUGUAGAGGUGAAAUUCGUAGAUAUUCGGAAGAACACCAGUGGCGAAGGCGACAUACUGGCUCAUUACUGACGCUGAGGCUCGAAAGCGUGGGGAGCAAACAGG